AAACUGUUUAAAACUCUGAAGAACAAACACACGAACAUUUGUUCUUCAGUCUGUUUUCGUCCUCUAAAGCCAUGGGAACUCUUCACAGGAGGUCUGGAUUCUAAAGUGAUUCACUGGGAUUUUUCUCGUCAUAAGUGUCUAAACAUGUUCGACAUGAAUGAGUUAAACAAUCCAUUUGAAACACCAGAUUCUUACAUGGUGAGUCCCCCCUUUGUCCAUCACUUGGCUGCUAGUCCUAAUGGGAAAUACUUGGUGGCUGCCCUUGAGAAUGGACUGAUUGCAGUUUUUGAUUCAACAAGGAAACAUCUAAGAGAACUAUUCAGUCUGCACACUCAUACGCAAGGUGUGUCUCAGGUUCACUUUCUAUCAGACGACAAAUUUGUUUCAGGAGGAAAUGACUGUUGCAUUGCAUUGUGGGACUUGUCAAAAUCCCAGGAUCAUCCUGAUUUGGUUUUACCUGCAAAUGCUCACGCUGCCAAUGGAACUUCCAAUGGAAUUAGCAGUGCUCCAGAUCCUUUGGAAACCAAAAAUCAAACAAUGACUGAUGUAUGUCUCGUUACCAAAAUUGAGCAUACGGGCAAAAUUAAUUGGAUGAAGCCUUUUCAUCAGGAGCAAUGGAAGAUUAUCAUUGCAGAUGAAUCAAACAAACUGUCAAUUAAGGCAAUAGAUGUCUGAACCUAAUUUGUAUUCCUGUAUGGCCUCAGUGAGGACAAGCAGUAUUAAUUUUAUUGAUGAAUUCUUGUGAUAUUGUUGAAAUAAAGAAAUGUCAACUUC
rnacentral:misc_RNA from 1 species